rfam:TPA: Bos taurus chromosome 2, whole genome shotgun sequence.
UCCCUGGUGGCUCAGACGGUAAAGCAUCUGCCUGCAAUGCAGGAGACCCGGGUUCGAUUCCUGGGUCGGGAA